GAUGAACGCUAGCGGCAGGCUUAACACAUGCAAGUCGAGGGGCAGCGAGAUUGUUAGCAAUAACGAUUGUCGGCGACCGGCGCAAGGGUGCGUAACGCGUGAGCAACUUGCCCUCAUCAGGGGGAUAACCGUUGGAAACGACGACUAAUACCCCAUAGCAUCACAUUGAGGCAUCUUGAUGUGAUUAAAGAAAUUCGGAUGAGGAUAGGCUCGCGUGACAUUAGCUAGACGGCGGGGUAACGGCCCACCGUGGCGACGAUGUCUAGGGGUUCUGAGAGGAAGGUCCCCCACACUGGAACUGAGACACGGUCCAGACUCCUACGGGAGGCAGCAGUGAGGAAUAUUGGUCAAUGGUCGAGAGACUGAACCAGCCAUGCCGCGUGAAGGAGACGGGCCCCUAAUGGGGUCCUUAAACUUCUUUUGUAAGGGAGCAAUAAGGAUCACGUGUGGUCUGAUGAGAGUACCUUACGAAUAAGCAUCGGCUAACU
rnacentral:rRNA from 1 species